UAUGAGACAGUGACUCUUUCUUCUUGUUCAAGGGGCAGUCUUUUAUUUUAUGAUCCAACUUUCCACAAGCAAAAUAGACUCUAGUCACCCGAAAACACAAAUUUGUUUCAUAAUUUAACUUGUAAUUCAUACAUGAUUGAGUCUUUUGUGGUGACUUCCCAUUUCAAAUCCAAAUGUCUUGACCCUCUUGUUAUUACUUUCUGAUUCAUUU
rnacentral:lncRNA from 1 species